GUGCCAGCAGCCGCGGUAAUACGUAGGGUGCAAGCGUUAAUCGGAAUUACUGGGCGUAAAGCGUGCGCAGGCGGUUUUGUAAGUCUGUCGUGAAAGCCCCGGGCUCAACCUGGGAAUUGCGAUGGAGACUGCAAGGCUUGAAUCUGGCAGAGGGGGGUAGAAUUCCACGUGUAGCAGUGAAAUGCGUAGAGAUGUGGAGGAACACCGAUGGCGAAGGCAGCCCCCUGGGUCAAGAUUGACGCUCAUGCACGAAAGCGUGGGGAGCAAAC
rnacentral:rRNA from 1 species